CACGUGGGAACGUACCCUUUGGUUCGGAAUAACUCAGGGAAACUUGAGCUAAUACCGGAUACGCCCUUUUGGGGAAAGGUUUACUGCCGAAGGAUCGGCCCGCGUCCGAUUAGCUUGUUGGUGAGGUAAUGGCUCACCAAGGCUUCGAUCGGUAGCUGGUCUGAGAGGAUGACCAGCCACAUUGGGACUGAGACACGGCCCAAACUCCUACGGGAGGCAGCAGUGGGGAAUAUUGGACAAUGGGCGCAAGCCUGAUCCAGCCAUGCCGCGUGAGUGAUGAAGGCCUUAGGGUUGUAAAGC
rnacentral:rRNA from 1 species